AAGAAGUCUUGCAGCUUUUGCUUUGCUCUUGUGGGAUGUUCCCUCUGGGACACUCCCUCUUGGAAAGCAGCUGCCAUCCUGGGAGAAGCCUAAGCCACAUAUAGAGGCCAUUUAAGUACUUUAGUUAACAUCCCAGCAUAACCAGUAUUAACUGCCAACCGCGUGAGGGAGCCGCCAUUUUGGAAAUCCAGCCCAGGGAUCCUUCAGCUGACUCCAGCGCCAGUCACCACCUAACUACGACCACGUGAGAAACCCCAAGGGGAACCACUCAGCUGAUGUGUCAACCCACACAACUAUGAGAGAGAAUAGGAGCGCUCAACACGAGCCGGGCACGGUGAAACGUAAAAUGUAGUGGAAAAGAAAAGCAAACUACAAGCAAUUUCUGAUUCUGAUAAACGAUAGGAAGGAAACAGUGUGCAAUAAUAAGGAACAAUAAGGAUAUCAACUUUUUUUAUUGAGGAAGGUAUUACGUGCCUAAAGUGGAAAAAAUCAAGAAGUAUACUACUUAAAACUAUGGAGGAAAAUACCAGAAAAAUGUCCGAAAGAGUCGAAAGUGCUUGCAUCUAAAAAGUGGUGUCUCUACCGGGUGAACAGACAGGUCCCAACAGCAGGCUGCUGACUGGUGGCUCCCUCCUGGGGACUACUCUCCCUGGCCUCUGGAGAAGAGAUGGACGCAGGAGGGACAUGCAUCUGGGGAACCAGGAAAUGUCAGAGGUUACUUCCUGAGGAAGGAAGAGGCCCUUGAAGAACUGGAAUGAGGCCAUGUGGCUGACACAAGUGAGCAAGGAUGUGAGGAAACUGAGGCUCGAGUGGUCAGCUAGUCCCGGUUACAUGCCUCUUAAGUGGCUGAGCUGGAGUUUGAACCUGGGGUGGUCCAUGUCGCAGAGCCCACACAGUGCAGUGACAAUAUCCUCCCUCCCAGAGGUGCAGAGUGGCCGGAGCCUCUCUGAAAUGUCUUCCAGGCUGAGGUACGAGCGGCUUUCAGGAUGCCAGGGGCUGGCUCUAACAAGGGCUCAUCUCCCCGGGGAGGCUGGCCAAGGAGGAUAAAGUCCCAACACUCAGCAUGCUGACCCCAGGCGCCUCACAGCAGAAGGCAGCUCCCAAUAAGGGAAGUCACAGCUGGGAGCGAAGCAGAACAAGGCUGGCGACUCAGCUGUCUGUCUGAGGCGGCAGCUUUCAGAGCCAGGAAGCUUGGAAAAAUGAGGUGACAAAAGCAGCUGGCCAGCAAUUAGGGGCUGUUAACAGGAUAACAUUUGCCAAGCAAGAAGAAAAAUUUGUUCCUAAACCUAAUUUCCAGUGAAUUUUUUUUCUAUCCUCUUUUGAUAGACGAGCAGCCUCUGAAGUAGAGAUUAUAUAAAAAUCCAUUUGCAGUGACAUCUACCUAAACAUUAUAGACUCUUCUGGGGGUUCAUGCCCAUUAGUGGGUGAUAAGGCUUAAGCUACAACAUACCCAAAUCCACAUACCGGACUGGAAGGACUUCCUGAGAAAACCAAGCAGUGUACAUGUGCCCGCUGAGGCUGCUUAUUUCAGGUGGUAUUUAAUGCCACAAAAGUAGGCAGGAAGGGUCUAGAAGCUCCCUGGGAACCCCUGCAGAGUAGGCUGGGCCUGUGCUUAUAAAUGAAACACAGGCUUGGGAGCCUGGUGACACCAGCUUGACUCUCACCUCUGCCAACGCUAGCUGUGUUUCCUUGGGCAAACCCAACUUCUUAUCAUUCGGCAGCACCCAUUCACGGUCAACACAUCUCUGUUCAGGGAGACUUCUAUACAAUCAGUGACUCUCAAAGUGAAGAGUGCCGACCACCCGCUUAACCCCGGGACACCUGUUAACACGCAGAUUCCACAGCUUUACCCCACUUCUACUGCGUCUCGUCCUCUGGGAACCAGGCCUCCAGAUCACGUCAGGCUCGCGCACUCAGCCUGUACCCUAUACCUGGGGCUGGUGUGGGGACACGGAGCAGCUGCAGAGGAACCUCCGAGACUAUGCUGCUAUGGCUCUGCGGGCAGCUUUGCCUCAAACCUCAAAAUCAUGAUCCUCUUGGAGGUGGCACCCCCAGGGACAGCGGCUUCUGCUCCGGGCUGUGUGAGCGCUGGGGGACCUUGGUUACGGACUCGCACUGGGUGAGUAAAGUGCUCUGUAACAUACAAGCCACCUCUUCCUGGCUUUUGUCCCUCGUAUCUCAUUAGACAAGCCAGCUUCAGGAAAGGGACGCGUUCUUCCGGGUGGGGGCCGCGUGGCCGCCACCCAGCAGCGGAGCCGUGACUCAGCUCGGCGGGCUCGUGCCCAGGCCAGGGCUGCGCGGGACCGGAACAGAGGGCCGCCCGGCCGCGCCGCACCUGCCCGGCGCCUCAGCCC